rnacentral:rRNA from 1 species
AUUGAACGCUGGCGGCAGGCCUAACACAUGCAAGUCGAGCGAGUGGCGGACGGGUGAGUAAUGUAUGGGAACUGCCCGAUGGAGGGGGAUAACUACUGGAAACGGUGGCUAAUACCGCAUACUAUCGGAUAACCCAUAUGGGAUUAGCUAGUAGGUGGGGUAAAGGCUCACCUAGGCGACGAUCUCUAGCUGGUCUGAGAGGAUGAUCAGCCACACUGGGCCUGAGACACGGCCCAGACUCCUACGGAGGCAGCAGUGGGGAUUAUGGCACAAUGGGCGCAAGCCUGAUGCAGCCAUGCCGCGUGUAUGAAGAAGGCCUUAGGGUUGUAAAGUACUUUCAGCGGGGAGGCGUUACUCGCAGAAGAAGCACCGGCUAACUCCGUGCCAGCAGCCGCGGUAAUUC